GAUUAGGUUUAGUUGUCAUGAUUCUAGUAUCCUUUAACCUGGAAUAUUUUUCUUAGGGUUUUUUUUUCCUUUUCUGUCUUUUAAGAACAGGAUCCUCCUUUUUGGUAGCUGAAUGUUUUAUUCGGGGGUUGUGUGAGGGGUAUCACAUUUGGUAGUGCCUGAUUUCUGCCUUGUACUGUUACCAGUUUCUCUUGUCUCUGACAAUUUAAGGCCGUGCAUCCGUUAAUGAUUCUUGUCUAGACUGGUUUUUACCCUAAUAGUUACAAAGCUGUAAUUUCCAAUGCCAACACUCCCUCCACAUUUUCCAGUCAGCACUAGGCAUUCAGGUAGGAUGCUAUUUUAUGAAAGGAAAUACAGUAUUCAGGUAGCAGUGAGAGAAGGACAGGCAAAUCACUGAUCCCAUUGUCACCAGAGCUAUUCAGAGGUGCAGGGAGCUGUGAGAGCUUGGAGAAGGGAAUAUGGGGUACAGAGUGGCAGGAGGCAAGGUCAGGGCUACAUAAGCUUCCUCGCCUGCCUGGCCAAGGUGUCUUGACUCGAUCCUUCAUGUGGCUGAGCUUAUAAAAUCAUAACAACAUAAAACCUGCCAGCUGAGAAAAGAAACCUUAUCAGUUUUUAAAAUUUUAAAUAUGAUAAUUUCCGUCCCCCUCCCUUCCGCCAUCCAUGGGGGAUAUAUCCAAGACUGAUUGCCUGAAACCUUGGAUAGUACCAAAUCCCAUAUACUGUACAUACGUUUUUUGCUAUACAAAAAAAAACUGAAGAUACAAUUUAAUUUAUAAAUUAGGCACAGUAAGAGAUUCAUAACUAAUAAUAAAAUAGAACAACUAUAACAAUAUACUGUAACAAAACUUAUGUGGAUGUGGUCUCUCAAAAUAUCUUAUUGUACUAUGCUCACAUGUUUUCAGACUGUGGUUGUCCCUGGGUAACUGAAACCUCAGAAAGUGGAACUGUGAAUAAGGAGGACUACAGUACUGCAUCCACCUGUCCAUAUAUUUAGUAUUUUUAGAAUGGAUUGUCCCUUAAUAAGUUAAUUUUUUUACCAUAUUCAUAAUUGAGCAAGUCUGAGCAUCUCGUUAAUAUUUUUUAAUGACAAUAAAACCAGCAGCAGUGAGGGCAGAUCCUAAAGAAUGAAGAGAUUAAGGGCAAUAAGGAAGAUGAAGAGAGUCAGGGACGACUGUAGCUCUGGUCAAGACGAAAGAAAUUUAUUAUCAGUGGCAAUAGGGAACCAUUAGAAAACCAUCUAAUGUAGACCAGAGCUUCUCGAAGUUCAAUAUUCUGGGGAUCUUGUUAUGAUGCAGAUUCUGAUUCAGGGGCCCUGAGCUUUCCAGUAAGGAGGAUGCUCCUGCCCCAGGACCAUGUUUGGAGAUGUUGGUCCCCAGGAUGUACAUUGCAAGUGACGGGUCAGGUGUGGAUAAAGCAAACCAAGGCAGCAGCUGAAGGAGGUUUGUGCUAGAAAUGCACAUCAAGAUACUGCAGUCUUGAUGAAAUGAAAUAGCCAUCAUCUAGUGAUUCCUUUGGGAAUUUGUCCCCUAGUAGUUCUGUGAGGGCCCAAGGAUCCCGGUCUGCCUCAGUCUCAGGCACAGGCUACUAUUUUUGAAGUUCUUUUCAGGAGCCUGAUACUGUGGUUUACUCACAUCAUCUCACUGAGCCCUCCAGACAGCCAAAUGGAGAUGAAUUCCUCUUCACGGACAGGACAUGGAAGCUCUGUUUUAGUGAGUACUUUGCCUGACAUCCUGCAGCCGGUAAGUUGUAGAACUCAAAUCUGAACCCUUCUGACUCAGAAACUCUGUUCUUGCCACCUCUUAAUUAGGUGCCCACCACAAACACAUGGCUCAUGAAAUGAAUGCCCCGUGCUCCCUGCCCUCCAGUAGCACUGAGUCUAAAGGGAAGGAUGUGUCGCAGGUGAUUACCAUCCAGCCAUGUUGGUGGAGAAGAGUACCACCAAGGUAUUAGCUUUCCACUCUGCAGGCUCUUUGGUUAGAACUGUUAAAAAUGCCCUUUUGCAAAGCAGAACCUUGAACAUUGAAUAAGUUGGUGUAACAUAUUUAAAGGUAAUAAAUGAUUACAUCUGCCUUAUUUCUUUUCAUUCCAACAUAUUAUGACAAUUUUCUAAUAUAAAAGUAGAGAGAAUCAUGCAGUGAAUAUCCAGAUGCCCACCAUAGUUAUAUUUAACUAUAUAUCUUUUGUUAUACUUUUGUCAUCCCUCUAUCCAUCCAUCAGUUCAUCCACUUUUUUGAUGCAUUUCAAAGCUGCAGACUUCAGUUCACCGCUAAAUCGUUCAGCAUACAUAUCAGUAGAGUUCAAUAUUUGUUUAUGGUUUUUAAAAUUCAAAACAUGCAACAAAAUGUACAGAUCUUAGGUGUACUAUUCAAUGAAUCUUGACAAAUGCAGACACCCGUGAAAUCCAAAUCCUUCUCAAGAUGAGAAUAUCCUCGCCAUUCUGGAAGGUUUCCUCAUGCCUCUUCCCAGUCAAACUCAAUUAUGUUGCCUCAAAGGCAGUCACCAAAUUAGUGAUUCCUGUUCUAGAACAUCACAUAGAUGGAAUUCGCUUUUUUUUUUUUUUCCUUUUAGAAGCCUGUGGUCUUAGCAAAGAGUUGCAAACGUUCGACACAUCCUUACUAGGCUCCAGCUAUCUAUCUGUAAGAAUUUGUUGAUAAGGUAUGUUUGUUUCAGUGGAGUAGCAAGAAGGCUUGAAGGACUGCCAAGGGCAUACCCUUCAUAUCAAGGCACCCACAUCAACGCACUAGAUGAAAGAGCAUCACAAUCCCAUGCAAGGGCAGAGUGAGCCCCCCAACCCAGGCUGGGAGAUUAGUGGGUUACAGCAGAUGGACCCAGCCUAGGGAUCUUUGGCUUCCAGGUAUCCCCAGAAUUGCCUUUGAACUCCACUAUUAUUUUUAGUAUUUCAAAAUAUCAAAUUGAAAUGAGACAUUAAUCUUCCAUGGGGCUGCACAGACUAACAAAAGUACUUUUUUUCUUUCUACUUUUGAUUGUUAUUGUAGAAUUAUAGUAGCGAACAUUUCUGGCAUAUUUAUAAUGUAUCAGUCACUGUUUCAAACAUUUCACAUUUUAAAUUUUAAAUUUCAUUUGAUAAUAUCAGUAACGUAACAUCUCAUACAUGGUCAUUGUUUCUGUACUUUUUAAAAUGAGAAAAUGCAUUUUUAUUCUAAAAGUGUGAUUUCCUUGGCAGACUAAAAACCUUCAAAUAUGAGGCCUGUGGAGAAAAAUAAUGAAAGGAAUGGCUGGACUAAAUAGAGUUCCACAAGAUGUAAGCAGAAACUGGAGAUGCUACACAUUCUCUUUUGGUAGAAGACCAUUGCACUUGACUACAACAAGAUUUUAAGCCUGAUUUUUAUAUCUCGAAUUGUUUUUGUUCACAAUUCAAACUGGCUGAAGACUGAAUUCCAGGCUAAUAUUCAUAGUGUGGUUCCAGCAACUGGAAAAUGGAUUGUGUUUCCUUUCAGCCUUCUAAUUCCUGGAUGAAAUGAGUAUACAGUCACGUACCACAUAAUGACAUUUCCUGACUGCAUAUAUGACGGUGGUCCCGUAAGAUUACAAAUACCGUACGUUCACUCUACCUUUUCUGUGUUUAGGUAUGUUUAGAAACACGAAUGCUGUGUUUGGAUACGUUUAGACACACGACCACUUAGCAUUAUGUUACAGUUGCCUACAGUUUUCAGUAUAGUAACAGGCUGUCCAGGUUUGCAGCCCAAGAGCAAUAGGCUCUACCAUACAGCCUAGGUGUGUAGUAGGCUCUGCCAUCUAGGUUCGUGUAAGUCACUCUAUGAUGUUCGCACAAUAAAGUUGCUUAA